UGGAAGGCAUGCCUGAGGACCUUAAAUCUUGCUACUCACUCAUACUAAGCUUCAUGUGGGACGAAACACUCACAGAGAGGACUAAUCCUUUUUUCAUUGAGCACACUCAAACUAGCCUGGUAGUAAGGUUGUACUUUUUUUCAUUUUCUUCACAACUGCAAUUUCUACCGCUCUUCAGUCUUCUUCUUCUUCCCAACCGCCCUCAAGACCUCAGCCCUGGAUGUCCAUGACUUCCUCCCAAGCUACAACCUCCCAAAGGGUCUCAUCCCAGAAAAUGUCGAGCCCUAUUCUCUUGAUUUGGAAGACAACACCGUCACUAUUGAACUCAUUUACCAUUGCUGUGUUCAGUUCACUAACUUGGUUUACUAUGACAGAAUUAUAACUGGAAGAUUGGGUAAAAGGGCAGGUUUCUACUGUUCUUGGAAUUUAGGUGAAGAAGCACUUCCCGUCGCUUCCUAUUACUGCCAUCCAAGUUGAUGAAAGCUCAAAAGGGAUUGAAUUUAAAGUGGGGAUUUUUGUCUGAGAAGUUGCCUGUUUCUAUGUUCCGAGAGAUUCCAUCUUGUAGGGAUAAAAGACUUCCAGCAGUCUCUGCUCGCAUCAAUUUUAGAUGAUUUGAGCACAAUCAGGUCAACAGAAGAAAGGUGCUUACCUAUUUUACCAUUUGUAUUCACAGAGCAGCAACCAUGAGUAGUUCACCAUGUGUCCUCCCAAAUUAUAUAUGGAUGAACAUCGCUGUUGAAAAGUUUGCAUCCUUGCCUAUUAACUUCCCUUUCUUGGAUGAAAAAUGCUCUUGGGUUCCAUGACAAGGUGCACAAGAUGGAACCUUAUAAGAUAUGAUCAAUAAGCUUCAGUACAUCAUUUAUCUCAUGUAAUGGACAACCAGAUGGAAGUACUCUACUUGAACAACAAAAUUGGACAACACUGACUCCGGUAUUUAUGCACCAUCAAGUGUUGAAUAUUCUACAGGGAGCAGCUUCUUGAGAUUUUCCUGGGACCGUGACUUCAACCACGCGCUUCGCCACCUCCACUGCCAUCUCCACCGCGCCCCUGCCUGCUCCCAAACUCCGGUUAUCUCUUUCCCUCAUUUUAUCUUUCUUUUAGCUGAGGACAGACAUUUAAUUUUUAGCUGAGGACAGAUAAUUGGUGCCUAUUUGGGAUACUGUGAAUUCGUAUUUUGCUACUCCUGACUGUCUACUUAAUUUUAUAUCAAAAUCGUUUGUGUUUGGAGAGUUUUGCUGUGUUGGUCUGUUUAAUUCAUAUUUGUGUGUUUGCUGUGUGUAGGUAGUCAUCGUUAAUUGUUUUGUUUGUCUGGUUGUCUGUUUCGUUAGUUGUCUGUAUUUGAAGUUGUGAUCGGGGACCCCUUAUUUAAUUGAGGUGCUGGUUGACUUAUUUUGAGUGUUUGUACCUUGUUCUUGUCCUGUUUACUGGUGUCAAUGGCUAAAACAAACAAUCCACUUCGUCCCCACAACCCACUAUCCCUUUGAGUGGAUCUUCCCAAGCAACUGCUUCGGGCGGUCCCCGGACCCGCCUUGGGAGGAACAGGGAGGUUCACCUCUCUUCUCCGCCCCACUUUGGCGGACAUUUGACCUUCACCAGGGCAGCCGAUAAGGAACGGUAUGCCGCUGCGUGUACAAGGAAAAUUAUUCCUUGUAAAUUCAUCCAUGGCCCCACACUCGACCUUUUAAACAUUAGGGAUGAGGUCCUUAGGAGGAUAACCGCCAUUGGUUGGACAAAUUAUGCUUCCAUUGUUUUACCUGCUUUCACUGAGUUAACAUGAAAAUUCUAUACCACUUUCGAGUUCAAUGUACCUGAUGAAUUCUCUGCUACGAUUCUUGAGGUGAUUCGGUUUAGAUUGAUAGGUAGGGAAUUCAAACAGUCCAUCACUGAAUUCAAUUUAGCUCUUGAUUUCAUUGACAUCCCCUAUUCCCAAACUGAUGAAUAUAUGACGAGUGCCUGCGAGUACACUGAGCCCUUUUUUUCCCAUAACACUGGCUACUGGAAAGAAUUGUCGAUUGACACUCAAUCUUAGCCUAUUUCCUUAAGAACUCCGUUUUUCGUUAUUUACACCGUUUUAUGGGUUAUAACUUCUCAGGUAGGAAAGACAGUUCGGGUAGUUUUUUUCUAUUAGGUAGGGAAGCCACUGUUUUUUUUCUCCAGAAUGGCCGGGCUAUAAGGCCCCGGUUAAAGACUUGUUUACUAGAUAUCCUAGUAUGCUUUGUUUAAUCAGAUAUACCAAGAGAAUAGUUUAUGUUUUUCUUUUUAAUCUUUAAUCUUAUUUUUCUAUCAGAGUCUAGAAUUUCCUUAGUUCUUAAUUCUGAAUAUCUAUGGUAUAUUAAGUCUAUCUUAGCUUGUCUAAUAUUUCUAAGGAAUGAUGUGGGAUGGUGGUGUGCUACUUUUGAUAAUCUAGAUUUUUCUAUGUCUAUGUAUGCCAAACACUGAUCUGGUGUUUCUAAAUCUUCUAAAAUUUUAUCAAAAUAAUAAUAUGUAUCUGGUUGUCUAAGGGUUGCUAAUGCUAGUCUAUAUGCGUUUUCUGGAGUGGUUGUGAAUUGAAAUGGUGGUUCAAAAUUCAUGUAGAUGUAUGCAAAUGUCAGCCUCCCAAAUAUGCAAUCAAUUAUAUCAGAACUAUAUUUUUAUGAGUAUUUGGUACUUGAGAGAGGUUAAAGGAAUUAUACCUUCCUUGCUUUUAAUCCAAAGUUUCCUUCUGAUGCUAUAAGAGUUAGAAUCUUGUUCUUGGAGGUUUGCCGCACCAGAUUUUCCCCUAACGCCUUGACGCCCUUUUGGCUGAACGGCUUAAAUGGAUACUACACUGUUUUUUGGACUUUUAAGACUCAAAAACAGGGUAUCUCUCUCAAAAUUUUCGGUUAUUUGAAUUAAAUUUAGGGUUGGUUGCACUAAUUUCUACUCUCUGUUUCCCUUUCCUCUUUAUGCUAAGAAUUGAUAAGUAUGAAAAAUUUGAAGUAUGAAAGAUUUUUUUUUUUUGGAUGCUCUGUUACUUACUAGAUAUGAUCGCAUCGUACUCAACAUUGGUUUGAGACUGAUGCUUAUAUAGACCUGUAGUGCGGAUUUCAAAUCCGGACUUAUACUUUGUUGAAAAUAUGUGAUUAUAGAAAGAUUUGCUAUUGUAAAUAUUAGGAAAGAUUAGAUUUGAUUUGUUUUGAUUAUAGUAUCAGAUAUUAAUUAGGUAAUAAAUUGAUUUAGGCUAGCAUGAUUUUAGUAUCUAAAUUAGGUUACACUUGUGUAUAUAUAUAUUUGUACAUUGUGUAGUCCAAAGAUAUGAAAAAGAGUAUUUUCUCUCCCUUUUUCUUAGUUUUCAUGGUAUCAGAGUUUUAGACUCUGUUAUUAGUUUGUUUUUUGACGUGACCCUAUUGAGUCACUUUUAGUUUUUUCUUGUGUGAAUUAUAAUGACAGAUAUGAAAGGUAGUAGUAGAGAGAUGAGAACAGUAAUUUCUGAUGUUAUUCCUACAACAUCAAAGAUUACUGAACACAAACUGGGUGGAAAAUUUUUUUGGAUUGGAGUAAAACUAUUUGGAUAUAUCUGCGCAGCAUUGAUAGAGAUGAUCAUCUCACUGAUGACCCACCCGUUGAUGGGGAAGAAAAGAAGGUUUGGCUAAGGGAAGAUGCAAAAUUAUUUUUGCAGAUCCGAAAUUCUAUUGAUAAUGAGAUAGUCAGUCUCAUCAAUCAUUGUGAGUUUGUUAAAGAUCUUAUGGAUUAUUUGGCAUUUUUGUAUUCUGGUAAGGGUAAUUUAAAUCAUAUAUAUGAUAUUUGCAAGGAAUUUUACCGUCCAGAAAAACAGCAGAGAUCCCUUACAGAAUAUUUUAUGGAUUUUAAACGUGUGUAUGAGGAAUUGAAUUCUCUCCUUCCUUUUAGGACUGAUGUAAAAACUCAACAGUCUCAACGGGAACAAAUGGCUGUAAUGAGUUUUCUUGCAGGAUUACCAGUUGAGUUUGAUGCUGCUCGAACACAAAUUCUCUCUAGCUCAGAGAUUGUUUCCUUCCAUGACACUUUCACACGAGUGUUGAGAAUCGAGGGAUCUUUGUCUACUUCCAAUGUUACUGGUGCUCUCGUGAGUCGAAGUGGAGUUGGUCGAGGAAAUAAUGGUAGAAACAGUGGCAAAAAUGGGACUGGUGGGGUUGUUGGUCAUGGACAAUACAACUCAAAUCAACGAGUUUGUUAUCACUGUAAGAAACCAUGCCAUACCAUACGUACGUGUUGGGACCUUCAUGGUAGACCUCAACAGCAACCCCCGUUUGCAAAUUUCGCAACCCAGGAAAACAAUUAUGUGCCUUCUGAUAAAUUCAUACUCAUCUCUGCUGAUGAGUUUGCCCGCUUUACCGAGUUCCAGGUCUCACAAAAAUCUGCUAACCCAUCUUCUAGUACCAAUCCUCCUUCUAUUGAUUACUCAGGUAAACCUACUACAUGCCUUGUGUCAUCUUCUAACAAAUGGGUCAUCGAUUCCGGUACAACAGAUCAUAUGACCGAUAAUAAAGGUAUCCUCUCCUCUUUUAAUCCUAACAAAGGCCAUCCGAAUGUUACUUUGGCUGAUGGGUCAUGUGCUUCAGUUGUGGGUUCUGGUGUAGCAAUUCCUAUGUCAUCUAUCUCCUUAUAUUCAGUCUUAUGCUUACCUAAUUUUUCUUUUAAUCUACUCUCAGUCAGUAAAAUUACAAAAGCUCUCAAGUGCUCUGUCUCAUUCUUUUCUGAAUAUUGUGUUUUUCAGGAUCUUAUGACGGGGAAGAUUAUUGGUAAAGGACGUGAGUCUGGCGGCCUGUAUACACUUGAAACCCAUUCAUCGAAAGUGCAGAAACCUGUUGCAUGUUCCUCUACCUUGACUCCUCUUGAAAUUCACUGUCGUUUGGGUCAUCCAUUUUACCCACAUUGAAGAAGUUGUGUCCAAGUUUUCAGAAUUUAUCCCAUUUAAAUUAUUCGAGUCCUGAUCCAUCGCUUCCUCAGUCUCUAGAUUCCAGUCUUGAUUUGCCUAUUGCUUUAAGGAAAGAUUCAACAUCUCUUCCUCAACGCUUAUCUAAGGCUUUGGAACAUCCUGAUUGGCGGGCUGCUAUGGAGGAAGAAAUGAUGGCUCUAGAUAAUAAUGGUACCUGAGACUUGGUUCAUCUACCAACAGGUAAGAAACCUAUUGGUUGUAAAUGGGUGUUUGCUGUUAAAGUCAAUCAUGAUGGCUCUGUUGCUCGCCUCAAAGCUCGUCUUGCUGCAAAAGGGUAUGCUCAGACAUAUGGGGUGGAUUACUCAGACACGUUUUCUCCAGUAGCAAAACUUACCUCUGCUCGAUUAUUUAUUUCCCUUGCUGCUACUAAUAAUUGGCCCUUGUACUAGUUAGAUGUUAAGAAUGCAUUCCUUUAUGGGGAUUUGCAAGAGGAAGUUUAUAUGGAACAACCACUUGAAUUUGUUGCUCAGGGGGAGUUUGGUAAGGUUUGUAGACUCCGGAAGUCAUUAUAUGGUUUAAAACAGAGUCCUCGUGCUUGGUUUGGGAGAUUCAGUGAGGUGGUUGAAGAGUUUGGCAUGAAGAAGUGUAAUACUGAUCAUUCUGUCUUUUAUCAACAAUCUGAAGUUGGUAUUAUCCUAUUAGUGGUUUAUGUUGAUGAUAUUGUUAUUA